AGAAUCAACGCUGGCGGCGUGCCUAACACAUGCAAGUCGAGCGCGAAAGGGGGGGCAACUCCCCAAGUAGAGCGGCGAACGGGUGAGUAACGCGUGGGUCAUCUACCUUCGAGUGGGGAAUAACAGCGGGAAACUGCUGCUAAUACCGCAUGACAUCGCCGGGCCUUACGGCUUGGCGAUCAAAGCCGGGGACCGCAAGGCCUGGCGCUUGAAGAGGAGCCCGCGUCCGAUUAGCUAGUUGGCGGGGUAAUGGCCCACAAGGCGACGAUC
rnacentral:rRNA from 1 species